AACCUGCUGGCGGUCGCGGCGGUGAUGGCAAAAAAGAGUGGAGCAAAACCGGAGGCAAGAAACAAAGCACGAAGAACCAGCAGCGGUC
rnacentral:SRP_RNA from 1 species